AGGAUUAUAGUUAAAUAUAACGCUUGAUUUGCACUCAAGAAAUACUGCUUUCAGUUAAUCUU
rnacentral:tRNA from 1 species